UGGCAAAUUGGUUCUGGCUGUUGGCUGGGAGGUCAGUCGGAGUUGAGGGCCCAGGACCUUGGUUUCUCUCCACAUGAGCCUCUCCAUGAGACUGGGCUUCCUCACAACAUGGUGGCUCCAAGGGCAAGUAGCCCGCGCGUGACAGAGCCAGGAGACAGGCUCCAUGUCCUUUUAUGACCUAGCCUUGACAGUCACACAGCAUAUCACCUCCACACUGCGUUUGUUGAGGUGGUCACAAAGGCCUGCCUGGGUUCAAAAGGAGAGGACCAUCUUCUCUUGAUGGCAGAGCAGCAAGGCUCAUGGUGAGGAUGCCACAUGGGAUUGGAGACAUUGUUAAGUCAUCUUUACAAAUACAAUCGGCUACAGGAGCCACUCUCUUCUGGACUUGAAGAAGAAUGUAAUGGCGGAGACACAGAUGAGUCUGCGACCUGUCUGAGGAAUAGGGGGCAUGUCUACCCAUCCCAAACAGAUUCUCUGCACCUUCUCGCUAAGCAUCUAUCUAACCACCCAAACAAUAACCGGUUUUUGGAGCCAUGGGACCGGUACUGAGCUAGAAGAUGGAUGACCAUCCUUGCCGCCAAGUUUCCAAUACAGAGGGUGAGCAGAUAACAACCCUGUCCGCGUCCACACCUCCGCGUGUCCAGUGGGCUUGCUUUCUCUUUCGGUGUUCAGGCGCAUGAACUGCCAGGCCCUGCUCAAAGCAGUGGGUUUCUGAGUCUUAUAACACAAUGACAGCAGUCUUGGAGAGCUUCCUUGCUUUGUGGAAUGUCAGGAUGUACUCUCCUGCCCCAGACCUGGAAUCAGCCAUUUCUCCACGGAGCCUCGGUUCCCUUUAGUGGGAAAUAUAUUUAGAAACCAGAAUCUGGCCUCUAAGGACGCUCGUUGCUUCUAGGUUGGCUAUUAUUUCCAGGUCUUUUCAGUGGACAGAGAGGAGAUGAAGAAUAUUAGGGGAGGAGUAGAUUUUGGAGGGUAAAGGAAAGACUAACUUUUGUCAAUCAUUUGUCUAUUAUCCAUCAUUUAGAUUGUAUUUUUUAUAAUAAUAAUAAAUAAUCUGUUAAAAUACUUUUAAUUACAGUUUUUUCCCCUUCGAAUUCAUUUGCUUAGAACAAUUUACUUUUGUAGGUUUAUUAGGACAGAGGACAGGAGCACCCUGCUGUCUUGCCUAAUUAUUUCCCCAUAGGAUAUGUAUACAGGAUCAGCUACGGAAUUUGCAGGGCCCAGCGUAAAGUGAAAAUGCAGGGCCCUCGUCCCCAAAGCAGUCAAUAAGUUCCACUAAGGUACUAAAACAUAAAGUUUUUUUCUUUCUUCCGCUGUCCUUCCUUUCUCUCUCCCUCUCGUCUCAGCCUUCUUCCUGUCCUGGUCGUUUUUUUUGUUUGUUUUCGGUUUUUUUGAAGAUUGGCACCUGAGCUAAUAUCUGUUGCCAAUCUUCUUUUUUUUCUUUUCCCCAAAGCCCCCCAG